rnacentral:lncRNA from 1 species
UUUUUUGGAGGAGCAGGGGAGGCUUUUUCUUCUGAUCAACAGGGUGUUUUUCCGGAAAAUUUGUCUUUAGAAUUACGACACAAAAAUGAUUCUAUUCGAUAACAUCAAGAGACACGGUUCAGUAUAAGGGCUGUAUUGACGUUCUUUUUGAAUGGGUAUUUGUUCCCGCCCUUUCCCAGCAUCUCCUGACGCGCACUCGCGCAGCCCCCGUUGCUCUAGGUGAAGCUCAACUCACUCACGAGCUUCAGAAUGAAGCAGGUGUCCAACAUGGCGAACACGAGCAACGGAUCUCUCGCAACUCUCCUCAUUUUAUUCACCAUUUCGGCAGCUAUCCACACAGGAGCUGCUCAGUUUCCCAGGUAUGGCUUCCCUUUUACCUCUUGUGUUCGUGUGUUGUGUUUUUUUUUUUUUUUUUUUUCAUUCCCAUUUCCCAAAUAGCUUGUCCUUUACAGCUAGCAGUGCUGGUCAUAACCAAACCAUCUCGCCUUUCUUCAGGCUUUCCUCCUCUGACUACUUCUCUCUCUACCUCCACCGGUGCAGGUGCUGUACAGUAUCUCUCCAGCACUCCAUAUUUUUCUUCCCUUCUAACAUCAUUCGUCUCUCACCUUUCAGGACAGAAAUUAUGCCUCGUUCUCUCUGGUGUCUCAUCCAAUGAAUUUCUCCAUUUUCACAGAGAACAUUUACUCCAGAUAUGCAAUCAUUUCUUCUUCAAACGUGGGGAAUGUGUUUUGAAGGAGGACGGUAAAAUAAGUCAUUUGGUAAACCAUACUCAAACUCUCCACUCUAUCAAUGUCUCGCCAGCGCCUCUCAGGUCUUCCUCAUUUCAUUUCUUACCAUUUUUUUUUUUUUGA